rnacentral:rRNA from 1 species
AUGAAGCAAAAGGUUCCUGUCAAGAGAGCUCCAAUGUCUAAGGCCAGAGCAUCCACUCAAGAGACUUUGGGAUCUACAUCCAAAGAGCAGGUUGUGGCAGAAAAGAAAAGGAGGGAAAGGGUCAAAAAGACCACUGCCAGAGUGCUUGGAAGAUCUUCAAUCAUGAAAGACUCCGAAGAAGAGGAAGAGGAAGAGGAUGCUGCAGCAGCACCUAAGGCACAUAAGCUUAUGGGAGAUGCCAUAAGAUCAGGGGCUUCUUCAUCUAAGCCCAAAGGAACUUCCAAGCCAGCUGCUCCAAAACCCAAAACUGCACCAAAGAGGAGUACCAGGAACAUUCCAGCUGCUGAGAAAAACAAGGCCCAGUGCCUGAAACUGUUGCUGAAGAAGUAG